UCUUCACACUUCCCUUCUCAAUUGCAAAGUAAUAGUCAAGCUUCUCAGGGAACAUGGAAGACACCCCUGUGGGGCAACAUCCUCCAGCAAUGGGAAGAGCCCUGGGACAGGCAGCACUCAGUGGAUGCUGGGAGGGGGAUAGGAUGAAGGGGAGAGGACUCUGGGGUGGUCAUGGCUACUGUUGCUGCUGCUGCUCUGAGCUUCAGGAUUCCAAGCUGUAGAUGAAGAGGAGAAACAAAAGUGGCUGCUAGAUGGAAAGACCUUGACCACAGUCUGCUUUUACAGCGUCAUGCUCUACUCCUCCAGCCUGAAGGCCUGGCAGCAGGCAUGACCGGUUUAUUGGAAAGCCUGUCAACCCACGUGGGGAGACAGAGCUGGAAAGAGCCAACACUUCUUCCUCAAGCUUCUUAAGAAACCUUCUCCUUUGGAGCCAUUGAGUUGGAGGGGCCUCCACCCCAUGGGACACUGCUGGUCCACGUCCUACUAACCCCAAUAUGGAGGUGGGGGCUGUCUCAGGAUGAGGGGAAGUGUGCAGUCCCAAUUCCCAUUCUUCUGUGCCCUGAACAUCCUCAGUGACCUUGAGCAAGUCCCUCACCCCCUUCUGGCUUUCCCCACUGUGACAUUCAAUGGCUCUAAUUCUCUGAGUUCUUCUGUAUUUAUUGGGUUCAGAGGAACAAAGACUUUAUGUUUUACACUUGGCAGAAUUUGCCCACCCCAGUAACCAGCAGAUGGCAUGGGCCCACCAGGUCUGAAUCCAUCCUGCCUCCUGGUUCCUUUACUGAAAUCUUAAUAAAGACAACAACAACAACAAAAAUAACCAAGAAUGACUGAGCCAAGACUCUUGCAUGAGAAGUGUAUCAAGUUUAAUACAGGAUAAAUGUAAACAUAAUUAUUUUCAUCAAGCCUCAAAAGAUGCUGUGGCAGACUGAUAGUAGCUUCACCCAGUAAUUGGAGACACCUUUAGACUAAUGUGGCUACAGAAACAGAGUCUAGUACGGAUUGCUCCUACCUGAAGGAAUUAUUAGUUUCACAGGGGAAACAAAAUGUAGUCCUCUUUUUCAGAGGACUGGGUUUGUACCGAGAGGUGGUAAGGGACUGAUUUUUAGUUAAACCAAAUAGACAGAGAAGGUUUCUUUCUGGGGUGGGUUGAGCAUGCCCAGAGAUAAAUGGACUUUCCCUCAGUGGAAUGCGGGGAGUCCUUUCUUCUUCUUGACUUUUUCUUCUUCAGUUUUCCAAGUGAGGGAGGGCAUGGCAGUUGCCAACCAUAGAAAGAAAUUUGAUGUAUUGAGGGGGGAUUAUUUGGAGGCAGUAAUGUUGUCCACCCAACCCCACGCAGGAAGGAGGCCUGAAAUGGGAGUUUAAGAGGAGAGAAGGUGGGCUGUGGAAGGCAGGAGGGAGGCCGCCCGCCUCAUGGGCAUGCUCCAUGUUGGGUCAGAAGCAAGAGCAGAAUGACUCUUGUGGCAGAUGAGCAGGUCACGUGAUGGUGAUGGGCUGGGAGGGUGUGGGUGCUGAGAGCUGAAAGACCCGAAAGGCUGAGACCAGCUAGAUGUCACCGGCAUACAUAGGAAUGGAGUCAGGAAAUGUGGGUCCCAGUGCUGGUUCUGUGUGCUGAGUGACCUUGGGCACUCCCUGCCAUCCUGUUCUUUGGGGGUUGGGCUGAAUGCAACAGAAUACAUCUUUGCAGAUGAACCUUUGACCUGCUAGGACCUUGUGAGUGUUUCCCUCCCAAACAGUCUAGUCCCAUGGCAAUGCACUUGGGAGAGGGCCGCUCAGCAUGUAGGAGAAGAAGGUCCUUCUCUGGCUCGGAUUGAGUUGGCUGGGUUGUGCAGAUAGGCUGGCGAGCUCAGGAUAUGUUGACCCAUUCUCAUCAAGCAUUAUCUGGGCACCCAGUAGGAAUUCAGUGUCAGUCAAGGCUCAGAAGGCUUUUUAUCUCUUCUAGUAAAUGGCACUGGCCAAGAGAACCAACAAAGGCAAUCUGGAUCCAGGGUAAGUUGUGUCUGAAUGAGGGUUGCUAUGUGGAAACCAAAGCAAAGCAGUGUAAGGGCUUAGCUCGGGCCCUCAGCUAAGGCCCCAUAUGUGGACUCUGUAGAGCCAGGCUGGACCACAUGGAAGACCUUCUCCUGCUCCAGGAGGGCCGAAGGAGUCCUGAACCCUAGCAGGCAGAAUGACCUUUGCUUCUAUUUCUAUCCUGAAGCCCCAAUGCAAGCCUUGAAUGCUCUCACUUCAAGGCAGCAAUGUCCCAUCCACCAUCCCCAGAGGAGAGGAACCAGGGGUUGGGGGGCUAAGAACAUACAGGUAUAUUAUGUCCCUGCUAACAAUGCACCACCUGGAAAAUGUGGUCCAGAUGCAAUGGAAUCUGAGUGAUCAAGAGCCUCUUCCUUGGAGUCAAAGGAAUUAUAUCAACAGAAGUCCGUCCUUAUCUUACUUGUUGGGGAGUGUGGGUCAGAGGUGGGUAUCAGAGAACACUACCUGGAGGAGGAGAAACGUUGAAGGCACAAAGGGGGUGGUAUUCUAUGUCAGGGGCAAGUGGUGGGAACACAUGCACAGAGUGUGCUGCCUACAGAGGUAGGCAGUUGGGCUGAGUGGUGAGGAGAGGGUAAAGUUAAUGCAGGACCAUGAAUUCAAAUGGCAGAGACCUUCGAAAGCCACGCAGUCAUGCGAACUCUGUUCCAAAAGCAAUGGGGAGCACAAAGGGCUUUCCCUAGAUCCCCUGAGGGGUGAGUGAGGGUCUCGGUGCAGAGUGACGCA